UACAUUUCAGAAGGAUACGGAGAGGGUACCUGUUCUAGGUCAACCCUGGGGUACAGCUGGGCAUCAUUCUGCAUUGCCCUCGGUUAGCUCAUCUGAACUGAGCUCUUCGGAGUGGGGAGUGUGCACUGCAGCGGAUGGGCAGAAGUACUACUACAAUAACAGGACAAAGUUUUCAAGUUGGGAGAAGCCUGCUGAGUUGAUGACACCUUUGGAG